rnacentral:rRNA from 1 species
UACGUAGGGAGCAAGCGUUGUCCGGAUUCACUGGGUGUAAAGGGUGCGCAGGCGGGAGAGUAAGUCAGAGGUGAAAUCUCACAGCUUAACUGUGAAACUGCCUUUGAUACUGCUUUUCUUGAGUUCGGGAGAGGUUGAUGGAAUUCCAGGUGUAGCGGUGAAAUGCGUAGAUAUCUGGAAGAACACCAGCGGCGAAGGCGGUCAACUGGCCCGUAACUGACGCUCAGGCACGAAAGCGUGGGUAGCGAACAGG